GAGUUUGAUCCUGGCUCAGAGUGAACGCUGGCGGUAGGCCUAACACAUGCAAGUCGAACGGCAGCACAGAGGAGCUUGCUCCUUGGGUGGCGAGUGGCGGACGGGUGAGGAAUACAUCGGAAUCUACUCUGUCGUGGGGGAUAACGUAGGGAAACUUACGCUAAUACCGCAUACGACCUACGGGUGAAAGCAGGGGAUCUUCGGACCUUGCGCGAUUGAAUGAGCCGAUGUCGGAUUAGCUAGUUGGCGGGGUAAAGGCCCACCAAGGCGACGAUCCGUAGCUGGUCUGAGAGGAUGAUCAGCCACACUGGAACUGAGACACGGUCCAGACUCCUACGGGAGGCAGCAGUGGGGAAUAUUGGACAAUGGGCGCAAGCCUGAUCCAGCCAUACCGCGUGGGUGAAGAAGGCCUUCGGGUUGUAAAGCCCUUUUGUUGGGAAAGAAAUCCAGCCGGCUAAUACCUGGUUGGGAUGACGGUACCCAAAGAAUAAGCACCGGCUAACUUC
rnacentral:rRNA from 1 species